rnacentral:rRNA from 1 species
GACGGGGGGUCCGAGCGUUGUUCGGAAUCAUUGGGCGUAAAGCGUGUGCAGGUGGCUUUGUAAGUCAGAUGUGAAAGCCCCGGGCUCAACUCGGGAAGUGCAUUUGAAACUACAAAACUUGAAUAUGGAAGAGGGUCGUGGAAUUCCUGGUGUAGUGGUGAAAUACGUAGAUAUCAGGAGGAACACCGGUGGCGAAGGCGGCGACCUGGUCCAAUAUUGACACUCAUACACGAAAGCGUGGGGAUCAAACAGG